rnacentral:miRNA from 1 species
UGCAAAAGUAGCAGCGGCAGCAGCAGCAGCAUCAGCAGCAGCAACAACAACAACAACGUCGUCCGUAAUAGUAAACGAUAAAACAAGAACAAUAACAACGACAGCUUCAGGCUCUGAUGAUACUGCUGCUGCUGCUGCUGCUGCUACCGCAAGUAAUGCUCUUGUA